rnacentral:rRNA from 1 species
CUACGGGAGGCUGCAGUGGGGAAUAUUGCACAAUGGAGGAAACUCUAAUGCAGCAACGCCGCGUGGAGGAUGACACUUUUCGGAGCGUAAACUCCUUUUAUAUAGGAAGAAGAUGACGGUACUAUAUGAAUAAGCGCCGGCUAACUCCGUGCCAGCAGCCGCGGUAAUACGGAGGGCGCAAGCGUUACUCGGAAUCACUGGGCGUAAAGAGCGUGUAGGCGGAUUAAAGAGUCAGAAGUGAAAUCCUAUAGCUUAACUAUAGAACUGCUUCUGAAACUCUUAAUCUAGAAUAUGGGAGAGGUAGAUGGAAUUUCUGGUGUAAGGGUAAAAUCCGUAGAGAUCAGAAGGAAUACCGAUUGCGAAGGCGAUCUACUAGAACAUUAUUGACGCUGAGACGCGAAAGCGUGGGGAGCAAACAGGAUUAGAUACCCCCGUAGUC